CUCAUUCCCCUAGCAGCCAAUAGAAAUAGGCUGGGGAGAAAAAGAAGGGGAACCCUAAUGUUAUGCGCCACCUAACUAUGGCUUCAUCAUCACGAACGGUGAUUGAUGGCCUCCGGUGGUGCUCCGUUGGCCCCCCGUUCCAAACCCGACACAUAGAUCUGUCGAUUUUGGCCUCGAGGUCUUCUCAAACUUCGAUAUCGUCGAAGAUGACAGACUCUGGUGGCUCAGAUACGAAGGUAAGUUUUCGUUCUUAUCUACUCUUAUCGCAAAAAGAAAAGAAAACCAGUAAAAUCUUGAGAUGAAAGCCAAUUUCAGAAAUCCCAAAAAAAUGGUGUUCGAAAUCACCUCUUAAUCGGUUGCUUUUUCUUUGUAUUGAAUAUAUGAGUAUUGGGGCUGUAUUCUGUGCUCGUAUUGCUUGUGUCCGUAAAAAAAACUUUUUACAAUUGAAAACCAAGGCUUUAUAGCCGAAAAGAAAAGAGAGAAAACCUAAAAGAAAAAUACAAUUUUUUCGAUCCCUCUCUCCUCGUUGUUCUGCUAUUUUUGUUUGUGUUUGCUGCUGUGUGGAUUGUCCUUCUUGCAGGUAGAGUACGGGCGUGCGCUGGCCCUUGGCGUGAGGCGUACGAGGCUGUGUUGGAGUGGUUGCUGGAGACUAGAGCGUAUGGAAGCGUUGAGGGGGGGCUCGGUUGCGGCGCAAAGCGAGGGAGAGCCCUAGGGUUUCUGGAACAUUAACAAUUUGGGCUUUUCGGGCCUAUUCUAGCAGUUGGGUCAUAAUUUUUGUAAUUGGACCGUAGGGCAUUAGUUUGGGCAUUGGGGUUAAUUUGGUUUUGGGUCUAAAAAUUGGGUUUGGGUUUGUAAUGUUUCGGGCUAAAGUCUGUAAAUAGACAUUUAAUGGACUAUAUGUUAUUAGAUUUUUAUUAUUUUUUGUUUUGUUUUUAAUUUUGGUUUUUUGGUUGUUGGGCCCCGAGCAGAUUUGGCCUGUUACAGCUGCCUUUCUUUGCUCAUUGUCGUGUAACGAGAAUAGAGCAAAGACUAUAAAAAGGAACAAAUUUGCCCGGUCUGGCUAAGUCUCAAAAUCUUGGUCCUCAUCUCUCCCAAAGGUAUUCUGAUAUCUUCAGGAGUGGCAAAUUGGCUAUCCUCAACUUGCUUAUUGAAAACUCAGGAACACCAACUUGUUAUUUUUGAUCUACUCUCUGCCAAUAUAGAGACGCCAAAUCUGCUAUCUUCUAUCUGCUCUUUGCCAAUAUAGAGAUGCCAAAUCUGCUAUCUUCGAUCUGCUCUCCGCCAAUACAGAGAUGCCAAAUCUGCUAUCUUUGAUCUGCUCUCCGCCAAUAUAGAGACGCCAAAUCUGCUAUAUUCGAUCUACUUUCUGCCAAUACAGAGAUGCCAAAUCUACUAUCUUCGACCUGCUCUCUGCCAAUUCAGAGAUACCAAAUCUGCUAUCUUCGACCUGCUCUCCGCCAAUACAGAGACGCCAAAUCUGCUAUCUUCGAUCUACUCUCCGCCAAUCAGAGAUGCCAAAUCUGCUAUCUUCGACCUGCUCUUUGCCAAUUCCGAGAUGCCAAAUCUGCUAUCUUCGAUCUACUCCCCGCCAAUACAGAGCCAAAUCUGCAGGAUUCACCAAUGUUGCCAUACUGUCUUCUAAAGACAUGACGUGUAAAAUGGGUUUCAUGUAUCUGUGUAUGUCAAAUAACUAGGAUACUAUGAUCGAGAUGAAUCAAGUGUUCCUAACUAAAUGAAUGAUUAUGAAUGUAGAAAUGUUAUGAGUGUGAUUUCUUUUUAAAUGCUUAAGGCAUCAUUGCUCAUAACUCGUUCGGGUUCUAUCAUUGAUGUGCUAUCGCGUCUUCUUACUUAGCCGUUAUCUCUGACAGAAAAUUUGAAGAAAUAAUCCUAAUUUGGAUUUCUCUUUUUCCAAUAUUUUCCAACUUUGAACCCGGUUAGUCCUGACUAGUGGCCCUGUUUCAAGUUCUUGUACUAUUUAGAGACUUUUCUAGAGUAAUAUGCAUAACAUCUUGUGUGUAGAUAUUACAUGUUCAAAAAUUUUGAUUUCAACAAAAUGCUCGAAAGUGAUUAUCAUAAUGGACAAAUGGAAAUUUAUUAAGCAAAAUUUGAUGUGAAUACAUAGGAUAACGAAUCUGAUAAGGUGCAAAAUAAAAAUGAGAAAAGAGGUGCCCCAGAUAUCGCGGCACGAGUUUCACUAUUUUAAUUCCUCAAAGGCUCAUUCGAACCAAAAUGUGUGUUCAGGAGAUCCCGCGUAUUUUGUUGAUGUUUCAUGGUGUAAUUUUCUUCUGUCUUGCUGAUUUCGAGACAAGACUACCAUAUGCCCCAUAUUCAAAAUUUGAGUUACCCGUUUUCGGGUUUUCAACUCGAAGGCCCCUUUGGUUCCAAAGUGCCCUUUGCGGGUUUUCACCUUGGCCUCUCCGUUUUUUUUCAGAGUUCAGAGCGCCCUUUGCGGGUUUUCACUCUGGCCGCCCUUUCUUUAGGUAAAAUACUUCUUGACUGAAUCCGAGUUUACAGGAUUGGGAAAGUUUCUACCGUCCAUCUCGACUAGAAUCAAUGCUCCUCCAGAGAAAGCUUUCUUCACCACGUAAUGCCCUUCCCAAUUAGGCAUCUAUUUCCCUCGAAAGUCCUUCUGUAUGGGAAGGAUCUUUUUCAAAACCAAGGCUCAUUCGUGGAAUUCUCUAGGGCAAACCUUUUUGUCAUAAGCUCGCAUCAUUCGCUUUUGGUACAUCUGACCAUGACGGAUAGCUCUUAACCUCUUUUCCCCAAUUAGGUUCAAUUGAUCAUAUCAAGACUGGAUCCACUCGGCUUCUUCUAACUUUAACUCUAACAACACUUGAAGAGAAGGGAUCUCAACUUCGAUUAGCAACACCGCUUCCAUUCCGUAGACCAGGGAGAAAGGGGUUGCCCUGGUUGAGGUUCUGACUGAUGUUUGAUACGCAAAGAGGGCAAAUGGUAGCUUCUCAUGCCAGUCUCUGUAGGUUUCGGUCAUCUUUCCCACAAUCUUCUUAAUGUUUUUAUUGACUGCUUCCACUGCCCCAUUCAUCUUCGGGCGAUAUGGUGACGAGUUGUGAUGUCUGAUCUUGAAUUGACUGCAGACUUCCGCUAUCAUACUGUUGUUUAAGUUUAAUGCAUUGUCAGAUAUGAUCCUCUCCGGUAUUCCAUAUUGACAUAUAAUCUCUUUUUUCAGAAACUUGCUCACUGCUGAUUUUGUCACACUAGCAUACGAAACGGCUUCUACCCAUUUGGUGAAAUAGUCGAUAACCACAAAGAUGAAACGAUGCCCAUUGGAUGCUUUCAGCGAUAUUGGUCCAAUCACAUCCAUGCCCCACAUAGAGAAUGGCCAUGGAAAAACUAUUACAUGCAGCGGUGAAUGAGGCACAUGAAUUUUGUCUCCGUAGAUUUGGCACUUAUGGCAUCUCUUAGCGUAGUUGACACAGUCACCUUCAUGGUGGACCAAUAGUACCCGAAUCUCAUAAUUUGCCUGGCCAUUGUAAAGCCAUUAGCGUGUGUCCCACAGACACCUUCGUGGACUUCUUCCAAGAUUUUCUUAGCCUCUACAGCGUCUACACAUCUUAGUAGCACUUGAUCCUUUCUUCUUUUGUACAGGAUAUCCCCAUCUAGGAUAUAGUCGAUGGCCAAUCUUCUUAGCGUUCUUUUGUCAUUCUCGCUUGCCUGGUCCGGGUAUUCACGAUUCUUCACGUAUUGCAAUAUAUCGUGAUACCAAGGGUGAUCAUCUUUCUCUUCGUUUUCUUCAAUAUUGUAACAGUAGGCCGGAACUUCAUAAAUGCUCAUCCGGAUGGGUUUGACAUCUUCUUGUUUGUUCACCUUGAUCAUGGAGGCUAAGGUAGCCAAAGCAUCAGCCAUCUGAUUUUCGUCUCGUAGAAGGUAGUGGAAGGCAAUGUCAUCAAACUCUUUAAUCAAUUCUAGGACCAGCUUUCGAUAAUCGAUUAACUUGGGGUCUCUGGUCUCCUAUUCUCCAUUGAGUUGAUAAAUCACUAGCGCAGAAUCCCCAUACACCUCUAGCACUUUAAUCUUUGGUUCUAUGGCUGCGCGGAUACCCAUGAUGCACGAUCCGUAUUCUGCCAUAUUGUUUGUACAAUCAAAACCCAAUUUACUAGUGAAUGGAUAAUGAUCUCUGUUUGGGGAUACCAAGACGGCCCCGAUUCCAUUGCCCACAGCAUUUGAUGCUCCAUCAAAGUUCAAUUUCCAAGGAAGUUCUUCUAGAGCACUUUUUUCAGUGGUAGCAACACACAUUAGGUCUUCAUUCGGGAAGUCGAAGUUCAAAGGCUCGUAGUCUUCCAAAGCUCUACUGGCCAGAAAGUCUGCUAUUGCACUUCCUUUUACUGCUUUCUGGUUCACAUAACUAUGUCGAAUUCAGAAAGCAGAAUCUGCCAUCGGGCCAUCCUUCCAUUCAAGGCUAUUGACUCCAUCAUGUACUUUAAGGGGUCUAAUUUUGAGAUAAUCCAAGUGGUGUGAUAUAAUAUAUACUGCCUCAAUCUUCGGGUUGUCCAAAUAAGGGCACAACACAACUUCUCUAUCGGUGGGUACCUUGUCUCACAUUCUGUGAACUUUUUACUAAGAUAGUAAAUUGCCUUCUCUUUCCUUCCUGACUCAUCAUGCUGACCCAAUACGCAUCCCAUGGAGUUUCCGAAUACUGCCAAAUACAGUAUUAACAGCUUAUCGGGGUUAGGUGGCAUCAGCACCGGGGCGUUAGAUAAGUACUGUUUGACCUUGUUGAAAGCCCUUUGACAUUCUUCAUCCCACUCUCCUGGGUUAUGUUUCUUGAGGAGGCGAAAGACAGGGUCACAUUUCUCGGUCAGUUGUGAGAUGAACCGAGCAAUGUAAUUUAAUCUUCCUAGAAAACCUCGAACCUCCUUCUGGGUACGCGGUGGAGAUAACUCUUAUAUGGCUUUGACUUUGUCUGGAUCAAUCUCAAUCCCUUUCUCGCUAACCACAAAUUCGAGUAACUUUCCAGACUUGGCUCCGUAGGUACAUUUGGCGGGGUUGAGUUUUAGCUAGAAUUUUCUUAAUCUCAAGAACAAUUUCUUCAGGACUUGUAUGUGCUCCUUCUCUGUUUGAGACUUAGCGAUCAUAUCAUCGACAUAAACCUCCAUCUCUUUAUGCAUCAUGUCGUGAAAAAGGGUUACCAUGGCCCUUUGAUAAGUUGCCCCCGCAUUCUUCAGUCCAAAUAGCAUUACUUUGUAGCAGAACGUGCCCCACAUGGUUACAAACGUGGUCUUUUCCAUGUCUUCGAGAUGCAUCUUGAUUUGGUUAUAUCCGGAGAAACCGUCCAUGGAUGGGAAUAGUGAGUGUCCUGCCGUAUUGUCCAUUAGGGUGUCAAUAUGAGGCAGUGGGAAGUUGUCUUUUGGGCUGGCUUUAUUCAAAUCUCUGUAGUCCACACACAUUCGCACUUUUCCAUCUUUCUUAGGGACAAGGACAAUGUUGGCUACCCAAUCUGAGUAUUUUACCACUUUCAGAAAUCCAGCGUCAAACUGCUUUCGAACCUCUUCCUUUAUUUUUUAGCAAGACAUCGGGCCUCAUUCUUUGAAGUUUUUGCUGAAUUGGCUUACACUCUUCUUUUAUGGAAAGUCGAUGCACCACGAUGUCAGUGUCCAACCCGGUCAUAUCUUGGUAUGACCAUGCGAAGACAUCUUUGAAUUCUUGAAGUAAUUCAAUGAGGUCUUGCUUCAUUUCUGCAGUGAUACAUGUUCCGAUCUUCACCUCUUGUCCUUCUCCUAAGCUCACAAUUUCGAUUGAUUCUUUGUGAGGUAGGAUUUGUUUCUCUUCUUGUUCUGCCAUCCUCAACAAAUCAGGAGAUAAGUUACAGCCUUGGUCAUCUUCAAAAUCCUGAGAAUCAUCCAUACACACAUCUUGCUCAGAAGGAAAUUCUAAGUCGCUAGCAGUGUCACUCGUAUCAUUAAUAUCUAGGGACCUGUUAUGAGGACGAAAGCAGAUACAAAGAAUCAAAAGAAUUCAAAACAUUUAUUUGUGUGAUAUGAUUAUGAAUGACGAAUGAAAGAAUAUUUAGAAGAAUGUUUGAAGAAUAAAAGAAUCUGAAAAUAAUCAUUUGUAUGGUUAUGAAUGAAAUUGAGAGGACGAGAGAACAUUUGCUCAAAAAUGAUAAUAACCGUGCAUUUUAUUGAAAUAUCGUUUUUAAACAUCAGCCUAUUUCACAAAAGAUUCUUAUCACUCCUAGGCCUAGAGUAAUAAGUGUGUUUUGGACAUUACUCUGAAUCCGUUCUAAAAACUACAGGGAUUUCUUCCGCAGUCCAGUUGUCCAGAACACUUCCAGGCGUGUAGGGACAAAUGCCCGAAAAAUUUUCCCUUCCAGUCUCCUCUUCGUACAUGAUGUUGAUGUCCAAACUUUCUAGGCUUUCUUCUAUAGCUCCCGUCAUUGGCGUAUCUCUCUCGGGAUGAAUGAUUCCCCCAGACACAAAUGUUUUCGAUAUGUGGGGGAAUGUCAUUGGUUCUCACUUGAUUUCCUCCCCCAUUAAUCGACCUUUCCUUCUUUCUUGCUUCUUUUCUAGCUCACUUCUCUUUUGUUUCACAUCCGGCUUAAAUCUUAAGCCGAAGCGGUCUCUCUUUUCUUUCAGCAUUGGCGUUUCGAUCCUUCCUUGUAGAUGUCUCCCAAGUCCCCUUCCGGGUAGGGCCCCUUUUCCAAUCGUCAACUGGAGGCUCAUCCUCGUGGUUUUGGACAAUUUCGGCACUAGAAUUUUGCUUCCCUCGGAGAUGAACGUCGCAUUAACAAAUUCCAAAGAUCAAAAUGAGCAUUCGAUUGCUUCGUCAUCUGUCUCCAAAUAGGGUGCAUUAUUGCUCACAGUUGCAAUAAUAUCUUCUUCAGCCUUAAUCGUUAUCAACCUCCCCUCCGACACCAGCUUCAAUUUUUGAUGCAACGAGGAAGGCACUGCCCCAACUGAAUGUAUCCAGGGCUUCUCCAACAAGCAAUUGUAUGAGGGCUUGAUAUCCAUCACGAGAAAAUCCACCUCAUAUGUGUUUGGCCCAAUCUGGAGAGGUAUCUCGAUUCUGCCCAUCACCUUUCUUUCCGUGCCAUCGAAUGCCUUCACGAUGUUCUGGCACUCCUUCAUAUGAGAGCUGUCUAUAGUUAAUCUGUUCAGCGUGGUCAAUGGCAGGAUGUUCAAAGCUGAUCCAUUGUCAAUCAGUACACCUGGCAGUGUAUACCCUUUACAGCGUGUGGUGUUAUGCAGAGCUUUAGUCGACCCCAUACCCCCCGGUGGUAUCUCGUCAUCAUUAAAGAAGAUAUAAUUGUCGGCACUUAUGUUGCUCACCAAACGGUCUAGCUUGUUAACGGAGAUAUCGUUGGUAACAUAUGUCUCGUUUAGGACCUUCAUUAACGUGCUACGAUGAACUUCCGAGCUUAGAAGUAAGGCAGCACCGAGAUACAGGCUUGUUUUUUAGGUAGCUAUUCCACCACGUUGUAUUCACUAUGUUUUAAGAAUUUUAAAAACUCAUUGGCCUCCUCUUCGUUAACUGGCUCGUUAACAGGUUUGGUUGUUUUUUCUUUCAUUUCCUCGGUCAUUGGGGCUUUUCCUUUUACGGGUUGCACUUUCUCAUUUGCUGCAUUGUAACGUCUCCCGCUACGUGUAUAGGAGCCCUUGUCUUGACCCUCUUUUGAAGCAUCCACGAGGUUUUCCUUCCCCGGCAUCAUCACGUUACAAUCAUAAUUCCAUGGGACCUUUUUGCUGUCUUUAUAGGUGAAGACUGCAGGUCUUUGGAUUAUGACCCUCGGUGACAUUUGUACUCCGGCUUCAUUAUUUUUGGGUCUCGAUAUGAUAACUACGGGAUAGUUGGUCGUUUGAUUCUGUGCUGUUGAUCCUCCCUCUGAUGCACAUAUAUUUCCCUCUACGGGGUCUUCGGUCUUUUCAAAAAAUUCUAUUUCCUUAUUAUUCAUCAUGUUUUGUACUAGGGCACUGAACUCCACGCAAUCUUGGAUUUCAUGCCUCACCCCGUCGUGAAACUCACAGUAGUUUCUCUCUUCUUCGGAUUCUUCCCUCGAAUCCAACGCGAUCAAUCCUCUCUUGGCCAUCUCCAUCCAUACUCGCCUCAACGGAGUCCUGACUUCCGCAACCUCAUACUUGGCCUUCUUGUUCAAGCCUUCACAUAUCCCAUUUACUCCUUGGUCGGUAUGAUUGGGGAGUGGGUUUCUUGCUACAUUGGGUGUGGCUAGGUUGUCGAAUCUCACGAUCCCCAUCUUAAUGAGUCUUUCAACUAAUUUUUUAAACGUGGUGCAGUUUUUGAUAGAGUGCCCGGUGAUUCCCGCGUGGUACUCACAUUGGGCAUUCACGUCAUACCAUUUGGGAUACGGGGGUUAUAGUGGCUUCAGGUAGAAAGGGGAGACCACAUGAGCGUUGAAUAGGUUCUGGUACAACUCCCUAUGGGUAUAGGGGUGAAUUGUGGCUUUUCUGGCUUCUCCCUCACAUUGGAUUCUUGUCUUACAGAGCUUUGCUGAUUGGUGGUCACCGCCUUGGGUUGAUUUACGGUGAAUGACUUAGGCUGACCUUUGCUAGAUGUGCUCGUGUUGUUCACUUCAUUGUCUCUUUUCCUCGGGAACAACUUUCUGGUACUUUCUCCGGUUUCUAUCUUGCUGCUCCUUACAGCAUUUUCAAUCAUUUCUCCCGUCAUCACUAUGUCGGAGAAGCUCUUGGUGGCACUUCCUAACAUAUGCGUGAUAAAAGGAGCCUUCAAGGUAUUUAUAAAGAGCAUCGUUGUCUCCUUUUCUAGAAGUGGCGGCUGAACUUGUAUGGCCACCUCCCUCCAUCUUUGUGCGUACUGCCUGAAGCUUUCAUUCGAUUUCUUCUCCAUAUUCUGGAGACUGAUUCUGUCAGGGGUCAUGUUCGUCACGUGAUUGUAUUGCUUCAUAAAGGCCUGGGCCAGGUCCUUCCACGAGUUAAUCUUAGUGCAGCUUAAUUGGUUGUACCACUUAGACGCCGCCCCAACCAGACUAUCUUGAAAGCAGUGGAUUAAUAGCUGGUCAUUGUUAACAUAUCUCAUCAUUCGCCUGUAGAACAUAGUGAUGUGGGCUUCAGGACAGCUUGUUCCAUUGUAUUUCUCGAAUUCGGACAUUUUGAAUUUAGGGGGAAGGACUAAGUCUGGGACUAGACUCAGGUCUUUGGCGUCAAUCCCUUGAUGAUGAUCCGCGCUCUCCAUGGCUUUGAAUUUCUCCUCAAGCCAUCUACACCGUUCUUCCAAUUGUUUUUGCGAAUCUAUCCUCGUCUUUUCUUCUUCAGCAAUUUCAUCCAGGUCUGGAACGGGCGGAUAGUUCGGGUUGUUGACAAAGUUAGAACCUGAGACGGUUUGGAAAUUCAUCGGUAUUAAAGCUCUGGCCUGAACCUGCUGGGCCAUGAUCGUGACAGAUGGUUUCGGUAGAUUGAUCUCGGGCUUCACUGGUACAUGUGUCGAUGUGAAGCCAGGGGGUAUUGAAGAUCCUCAUUAGCUUCUUCAACUUUGUCCAUGGGGCCCUUUCCCUUAUCCGUUCCUCCCAACAGCAAUUGGGAUAACUGACUCAUCAUUUCCCUCUGGGACUCCAUCAUUUGCUCUUUCAUCUCUCGCUGAAUCUUGUUUAGUUGCUCUUGCAUCUGAGACUGCAUUUGUUCUUGCAUGUCUUUUUACAUUUGCUCUAAUUUCUCGAGUCUCUUAUCCAUUGAUUUUUUCUUGUACCGUAGGGGUGUGUGGUUGGUUGGUUUUCGUUGGUUUCCAGGUUACUGAAAUAAUUUUUAAUUAAUUAAUUAGAAAACUCUUAUGGCCUUUAAUGCAUAAUGAUAUGAUGUAAUGCAAAUGCAUGAAUGCAAAGGAGGCAUCAAUUUUGAUUCAAUUGCCCUUAGAAAAUUUUACUUGAAAAUAAAAUCUUUUACUUAAAGUUGAGUUACAAAUAGAAUUUCGCUCUAAUACUCAAAGUCCUAAUUUUUCUAAGCAAAGAGGCCAGUUCUUGUCCGCGUUCUGACUCCAACUCAUAUUUCACGCUUAGUGUGUCUGCCUGAACCGCUAGAGUUUGCAAAUAGUCCGCUACCUCCCGAAUCUGGGUUAUGGCCUCUCCCAUAAGGUAAUCUCUGUUUCUGACUUGGUCUUGUGCAUGAUGAAGCUGCCCUUUCCAACGAUCCUCGUUUGCCUCGAAAAACUGGAUCCUCAUCUCACAGUUUUGCAGCGACGCCUCUAACUCUUCUAUUUUUCCUUUCAUUUCUUCUAUCUUGCUCAAGCUUGCCCUCAAUUCCAUCGCGGUGUUGCGGUUUCGGUAUUGAUAUAGAGACUUCUCAAGUUCUGCCACCCUAGCCCUUAAUUCCCCUUGUUCAUUUCUACUUUCUGACAGACUUUUCUCUAAAUCUUCGUUUCGUGCUUGAGCUUCUAUAAAUUUCCUUUCCCACCGGUCGGUAUUGGCCUUUUCUUCCCGAAUUUCAUGGCGCCAUUGUUCGAAAGUCUUACCUAACCCCGCAGUUCUCAUAGAUAGGCGCAGCUUCUUAUAGUCAGUCUUCAAGCUGUCUAGGUCUUCUUCGGCCUUAGUUUUUCCUUUUCUCCACUUCUCGGCCUCUAACCUCUGGACAUCAGCCUCUAAUCAUCUUCUCUUCCUCUAAUUGUUUGAUCUUCUUCCCAAGCUCCAAACUUUUCUUCUCAAAAUCUUGUUUUAUAAUUUCCAAUUCUGAUGGGGCGACUUGUAAUUGUUCCCUGGUAGGUUGAGCAUUCUCCAAGCUUGGCCUAGGAAUAUUAUCAUUAAUCCUCUUCUUAAACCACUCGCUAUACUCGGGCGUUACCAUGGAACCGACGGCUAACCUCUUCAUCCAACAAGUUUGCUUCCAAGCAUCCGAUAACUCCCGAACUCUCUUCUUAUAGUGAGCACCUUUAAACGAGAAUUCACUCUAAGCAAGCCCGUGGGUCGUGGGUACAAACUGCCUCGACUUAUAUUACCUCAAGGCUAACAGUGGAGUAUACCCGGUAGCUCCCUAGAUUCCUAACAAUGGGACCUAAUCGAAGUUACCACAUCGGUACAUGAUCUCUUCAGGGACCAUCCAAUAAGCUCGCCACUCGAUAUCCCCCUCCUUGAGGUUUUGAAGAAUAUCCAUCCACUUCUCCUCCGAGAUAUCCUCUCUCCUCUGUAUAGCUGCCUCUUCUUUCAAAGGGGAAUAACCUUCGGAAAAGACUCAAUAGGAAACCUUGUCCACCUUCCUAAAGUGCCCAUGAAACCAUACCAUCAAUAGUUGAGCACAUCCAAUAAAUCGCCCCUCGCCCGUCUUCCGACAUGAGCUCAAAGAUCUGAACGUUUCUGCCAAUAUUGCUGGUACCGGUGUGAUUCCCUUUUCAAGGUGAUCGAACAAGUCGAUGACCGCCUCGUGCACGUGCCUCAAAGCCUUAGGAAAGAUCACUAAUCCGUAGAUGCUUAAGGCAAAUAUAUCGACCCUCUUUUUUUCGUCUAGAUGAGUUAAAAUCAAAUCUCGCAAACUCUCCCAAGGGACAUAUUUGCUAUCUCCUUUUUGCUGAAUCCGAGCAGUGACCCAAGGCUCGCUCAUCCCAGAAAUGCUCAUCAGUUUCUUCACGAAAGCCUGAUUACUAAAAAACCGGGCAUAAGUCUUCCGGACCUAAAUCUUUGGACACCUAAGCAGUGUAGUGUAUUCCUCCAUGGUAGGUACCAAAUCCACAUCUCCAAAAGUGAAACACUUAUACGCGGAAUUCCAAAACUGCACCAAGGCUCGGAACAAAUGCUUAUCCACUCUAAUGUCUAGCAGGUAGGAUAUGUCACCAUAACUUUGGUAAAACAACUGUUUGAUCCUUUCAUCCCAACUAACCCAAAUGUCUCUCAACUCUUGCAGCCCAUUCUUACUACAUUGACACGAGUGAAAUCCUGUAGCUCCAAUACAUGCCCUUCUGCCAAGCUAUCCCCUCUCUCAGAUUGUAGCCUCUCCGACCAAGCACGAACGGCCGCAUUAUCCUCGACUUUACUAAGAAAUUUAUUCUCCAUGUUAAAAUUUCUAACUUAGUAAUUGAAUGUGGAUUAAUGCCUCCUUUAGUAUGCAAUGUCAUGCAAAAAAGACAAUUAAAACAAAACAUCGGUUAGUAUCAAAUAAUAGCGAUAGAAUGCAAGCACAUAAACGACGAUUAUAACACAUAUAUGAGUAAGUACUAACGCUCGACGCGGCUCCACCCAAGGAUAGCUCCUAAGGUUCACUAUAUGUGGUUUAGUUCUAGGAAAAGGGGUACCCGAACCAGCAGCUUCCUCAACCUUCACCCAUUAUAGGCUCAUAUGGAUCGAGUUUGGUUCGGGGGGAUACAUUUCCCUAUGACCAUGCGGAGAUGAAAAUCUCACAAAAUCAUAGGUUCAGAUGUACCCCGGAAGCAAUCCACUAGCCCAUGCGGAGGUGAACACCUCACGAAAGCGUAGCUUCUUACUCCCACUUAGAAGGUGUGACCACAGUGGUCAUGCAAUGAAAUGCAGUGCUAAUCUACAAAACCCGCACCAAAACAAGCAUACAAUCAAAUGCAAUCGAAAGAUACAUGAUUUUUAAAAUAAAUUUUCGGUUUUUUUAACAAAAGGACAGUAAAUAAUCGAUUUUUAUGGCUCGACUCUCAAGUUCAGGUCCCCAGCGGAGUUGCCAGGCUGUCGAAACCAUCCCUUUGAUUUAAAAAAUUUUAAAUUUAAUAAAAAAGGAUGGGGGAAUCGACUUUUUGGAAAAUGAAAAUAUGGAGUCGCCACCGAUCUUUUUGUUUUGGUGCGAUCGGAUCACCUAAGAAUAAAACAUUUUUGGUUUACUAAAACAACGAUUCUGGUCUACGAAAAUAUGAGAAAACGGGUUCGGGAGUCGGUUACGCAUGAGGAAGGAUUAGCACCCUCACUACGCCCAAAAUUGGUACCAAAUCGGUUAAAUACUGUCCUUAUGUUAAAAACGUUUUUGAAAUGUGGUCCUUUUCUAAUAACGUUCGAGUAACCCGAGUUGGUUGCCAAAAUUUUCUUGUUUCGACGUCCGAAAGUUUAUAGUUUGAAAUUAACAAGAGGAUGCCCAACUAUUUGGUCCAACGAAAAAUUGAAACCCAGCACAGUAGGGCAUGAUUCCUCGAAUUUCCAAACAUCGAACAUUGCCUCAUUUUAGAAAAUACGAGUGGAAUUCUAAAGAGAUAUUCGAUUAUUUUGGAGAAAUGAAAAAGCGCAACCCAACACGAUAGGUCUCGAUUCUCAAAUUGCCAAACAUUGAACAUCGUCUUCAUUUUUAAGAAUUUUUUUUAUAAACAUGAGUGAGAAUCUAAAGGAAUGUUCGAUCGUUUUGAGCAAACAAGAAAUCACAACCCAGCACGAUAGGGCAUGAUUCUCGAAUUGCUAGAUAUCGGACUUUGCCUUCAUUUUAAAGAAUUUUUAAAAGGCAUGAGUGAAAGUUUGAAGGGAUAUUCAAUUAUUUCGAGCAAACGCGAAAUUGCAACCCAACACGUUAGGGCACUAUUCCGCGAAUUUCCAAAUAUCGAAUCUCGUCUUCGUUUUAAAGAAUUUUUAAAUGAAUACUUGUAAAACUAGCUUAAAACGCAUUAAUUCAAUUUGAAAUAAGAUGAAAUUAAUCAUAAAAUUUAAAUUUUGUAAAACCACAUUUCAUAAACCAAGUGGAAAAUGAUGAUAUGGGGUAAUAGGCACAUACGGGAUAAAAUCAAUUAACAAACUAACAAUUAAAUAUAGCUAACCUAAAAAAUGCAACCCGAUUACAAAUAAUGCAUGGAGAAUGAUUAACAUGGAAACAAUGAAUAAAUAAAAUGCAACGACGGCAUACGUGACAUAAUAAAAUUAUUAGAGGCAUAAAAUAAAAUGCAAUCCAAAGAAGCAACAUGGUAUAAGAUUAUUGUAAAACAAUGACCAACCUAAUAUACACAUGCAAUCAUUAAAAUAUAUAUAUAAAAAAUGAAUAUUUUAAAAAACAUAAUGUAUGAGUUGACAAAUUUGCAAAAAAACAAGAAGAUAUAAUCAUUGAAAUAGAUAUUAUGAAAUACAAUUUUGAAUCAAGUCAUGUGCAAAACAUUUUAAAACGGAUUUAUUCGAAAAUUGACAAAGCAUAUGAUAACUUGGAUAAAAUAUGAUGCAAAAUAAUAAUAAAGAAAGCACAAAAUAGAUUUAUGAAACAUAUGUACAUGCAAGUUUAUUAUAAAAAUGGGGUAUGAGAUUAAUAAUAAGACAUAUAUAGAUUUUUAAAAUAGUCUAAGAAUUAUACGUAUACCCUUAUAUCAAAAUAUUUAGAUAAUAAGUUAUAUGUAAAACACAAAAGUAAUAUGAUAUAUAAAUACACCCCAAAAAUAACAAUUUUAUAAGUAUACAAGAAAAAUGAAGUUUCCAAGAAUUAUUUGAAAGGUAUUUUAAAAUAAGAAAUCUAUUAAGGUAAUAAACAUAUCGAUAUGUAAAUAUACGUGUCUAAGAGUAAGUACAUGCAUAUUUAUAGAUAAUAUAUAUAUAUGCUUAAUAAUGCGUAUGAAUCAAAUACAUGUACUAAUAUAAAUGAAUCCAAAAUAACUUAAAUCCUAUGCAAGACACAUGCAAAGCAUAUUUGAAUAAUAAAGAAAUAUAUUAAAAUGCCAAGAUAUAUAAAGGCAAAAGCCAUUAUGUGCAUAUAAAUACAUUAAUAUUAUUAUAAUAUAUACGUAAUAUAUGUAGUAAUGCAAAGGAAAUAAACAUUUGAAAUGUACAACAUAUGAUAAUAACAUUACAACAAAAAACGAAUCUAAAAGAAUGAGGAAGCAAUUAUCAAGAUUAAUUAAAAAGUACAAACAAAAUAAAAUAAAGAAAAGGGUAUGAAAUAAAAGACUCAAUUAAAAUUAAACUAAAACACAUGGGGGGAAUUAGCAAAUAAAACAGAAAUGAUAAGAGGACCAAUCUCCAACACGCAAAAACAUCUAAGGACUGAAGCUGCAAAAUACCAGAUCCUAAAACGCCGCGUAUAGAAGUGGGUCAGAUUGCAAAGGGACGUUAAUUAUAGUGCCAAAUUAAAACAAACAAGGUAAGAACAUGGACUGAUUCAAAGACGGCGUGAAAGGUGAGGGACCAAUAUUGGAAAUAUCCCCUCAUCGCGAAAUCACGCGGGUCCCUGCGGCUAGGAGUCGGGUCGGAUCGGGCAUGGAGAUGGUGGCCUAGACGGCGUCGUUCCUUACUCCCCUAAAAUCCCCCAACAGAACCCACUCAACAGAACCUUCAUUUCCUUUUUCCCCUUUUCCUAACCCUAAAAUUUCCCCUUGAAGCCCGAUUCUCAUUCUCCUAGCAGCCAAUAGAAAUAGGCUGGGGAGAAAAAGAAGGGGAACCCUAAUGUUAUGCGCCACCUAACUAUGGCUUCAUCAUCACGAACGGUGAUUGAUGGCCUCCGGUGGUGAUCCGUUGGCCCCCCGUUCUAAACCCGACGCAUAGAUCUGUGAAUUUUGGCCUCGAGGUCUUCUCAAACUUCGAUAUCGUAGAAGAUGACAGACUCCGGUGGCUCAGAUACUAAGGUAAGUUUUCGUUCUUAUCUACUCUUAUCGCAAAAAGAAAAGAAAACCAGUAAAAUCUUGAGAUGAAAGCCAAUUUCAGAAAUCCCAAAAAAAUGGUGUUCGAAAUCACCUCUUAAUCGGUUGCUUUUUCUUUGUAUUGAAUAUAUGAGUAUUGGGGCUGUAUUCUGUGUUCGUAUUGCUUGUAUCCGUAAAAAAAAACUUUUUACAAUUGAAAACCAAGGCUUUAUAGCCGAAAAGAAAAGAGAGAAAACCUAAAAGAAAAAUACAAUUUUUUCGAUCCCUCUCUCCUCGUAGUUCUGCUAUUUUUUGUUUAUGUUUGCUGCUGUGUGGAUUGUCCUUCUUGCAGGUAGAGUACGGGCGUGCGCUGGCCCUUGGCGUGAGGCGUACGGGGCUGUGUUGGAGUGGUUGCUGGAGACUGGAGCGUACGGAGGCGCUGAGGGGGGGCUCGGUUGCGGCGCAAAGCGAGGGAGAGCCCUAGGGUUUCUGGAACAUUGACAAUUUGGGCUUUUCGGGCCUAUUCUAAUAGUUGGGUCAUAAUUUUUGUAAUUGGACCGUAGGGCAUUAGUUUGGGCAUUGGGGUUAAUUUGGUUUUGGGUCUAAAAAUUGGGUUUGGGUUUGUAAUGUUUCGGGCUAAAGUCUGUAAAUAGACAUUUAAUGGACUAUAUGUUAUUGGAUUUUUAUUAUUUUUU
rnacentral:lncRNA from 1 species